rnacentral:rRNA from 1 species
AGCGAACGCUGGCGGCAGGCCUAACACAUGCAAGUCGAACGAACCUUUCGGGGUUAGUGGCGGACGGGUGAGUAACACGUGGGAACGUGCCUUUAGGUUCGGAAUAACUCAGGGAAACUUGUGCUAAUACCGAAUGUGCCCUUCGGGGGAAAGAUUAAUCGCCUUUAGAGCGGCCCGCGUCUGUUUAGCUAGUUGGUUGGGGUAAUGGCUCACCAAGGCGACGAUCAGUAGCUGGUCUGAGAGGAUGAUUAGCCACAUUGGGGCUGAGACACGGCCCACACUCCUACGCGAGGCAGCAGUGGGGAAUCUUGCGCAAUGAGCGAAAGCCUAACACAGCCAUGCCGCGUGAAUGAUGAAGGUCUUAGGAUUGUAAAAUUCUUUCACCGGGGACGAUAAUGACGGUACCCGGAGAAGAAGCCCCGGCUAACUUCGUG